rnacentral:tRNA from 1 species
GACCUCAUAGCUCAGUUGGUUACAGCAUGGUACUUUUAUCACCAAGGUUGUGGGUUCAAUCCCUGUGUGGGCCA